UGCAGCACAACAUCCCUCAUGGAAAUCAAGCUGGAAAUCAAGCAUCUAGACAACUUCAUAGAAGCAAUUCUAGUUUUCUGGAGGCCAAAAGCCAGCUUCAAGAGCACACAGUGACAUCUAGUAGCAGUUUGAUGAAGUACAAGCAAAUGAGCAAUUUCCUUCUUCAGCGCCACAAAUUUUGUGUUGGGGUACAGAACAUGCAGACAGAAGCUAUGUGCCUACAGCUUAUAUGAGUAGAGGCUCAAUGUGUGCACAAAGUAAGCAGAGGGCUACUCAGGCACCACGUAGGAGGCUGGUGACUCAAAGAGAUUGCAGCCCAGCACAGUCAUGGACAGGUAAAUGGGCAGCGGCUGCCCCGUGUAUAAUUACUGCAUCCAGAACCC